ACGCUGGCGGUGUGCUUCACACAUGCAAGUCGAACGAGGUAGCAAUACCUAGUGGCGGACGGGUGAGUAACGCGUGGGAAUCUGCAUUUAGAUGGGGGAUAACGGGUCGAAAGACUCGCUAAUACCGCAUAUGACGAAAGUUGAAAGGAGUAAUCCGUCUAAAGAUGAGCCCGCGUCCGAUUAGCUAGUUGGUAGAGUAAAAGCCUACCAAGGCGACGAUCGGUAGCUGGUCUGAGAGGAUGAUCAGCCACAAUGGGACUGAGACACGGCCCAUACUCCUACGGGAGGCAGCAGUGGGGAAUUUUACGCAAUGGGCGAAAGCCUGACGUAGCGACACCGCGUGAGCGAAGAAGCCCCUUGGGGUGUAAAGCUCUGUCAGCUGGAACGAAAAAAUGACGGUACCAGCAGAGGAAGCAUCGGCUAACUACGUG
rnacentral:rRNA from 1 species